rnacentral:lncRNA from 1 species
UUUAGACAAAGUUAUACAGUAAAUUCAAAAAUGAUACCAAAGGACGCUUGUAAUGAAGACAAUGAUUCAAAGUAUGAAAGUCUCCUUAGACGUUAUGAAAUAUUAGAGACUGCUUUCGAGAUGAUUUUAGUAAAACAAGAAGUACUGUCAGAGCAUAAUCGUUCUCUUGAGCAGCAAGUAGCAAAACUUCAGCUCCUGCUUAAAAUUUCGGACGACAAAUUGGUCAUGCUUAAAUAUCAACAAUAAGUUUUCGCUGUGUUCAUUUUCCUAAAGUAUGUGUGUAGUACCGAACAGUUGUGUGUGGCGAAAUAAAACUACUUCAUAUAAGACGGUUAUGAGAUGGAUUGAAAUAUAGAUAAGAAGGUAUAAUGAGAUAAUGAUGGUUAAUUGCUGAUUAUCCAAAUUUAUUACAUGCAAUAUACAAAAGCAUAAACAAUUGAUAAACAUUACUAAAAA